rnacentral:rRNA from 1 species
UGACCGCUGGCGGCGUGCCUACUACAUGCAAGUCGAGCGAACAGACGAGGAGCUUGCUCCUCUGACGUUAGCGGCGGACGGGUGAGUAACACGUGGAUAACCUACCUAUAAGACUGGGAUAACUUCGGGAAACCGGAGCUAAUACCGGAUAAUAUAUUGAACCGCAUGGUUCAAUAGUGAAAGACGGUUUUGCUGUCACUUAUAGAUGGAUCCGCGCCGCAUUAGCUAGUUGGUAAGGUAACGGCUUACCAAGACGACGAUGCGUAGCCGACCUGAGAGGGUGAUCGGCCACACUGGAACUGAGACACGGUCCAGACUCCUACGGGAGGCAGCAGUAGGGAAUCUUCCGCAAUGGGCGAAAGCCUGACGGAGCAACGCCGCGUGAGUGAUGAAGGUCUUCGGAUCGUAAAACUCUGUUAUUAGGGAAGAACAAAUGUGUAAGUAACUAUGCACGUCUUGACGGUACCUAAUCAGAAAGCCACGGCUAACUACGUG